rnacentral:rRNA from 1 species
UACGAAGGGGCUAGCGUUGCUCGGAAUCACUGGGCGUAAAGGGUGCGUAGGCGGGUCUUUAAGUCAGGGGUGAAAUCCUGGAGCUCAACUCCAGAACUGCCUUUGAUACUGAGGAUCUUGAGUUCGGGAGAGGUGAGUGGAACUGCGAGUGUAGAGGUGAAAUUCGUAGAUAUUGCAAGAACACCAGUGGCGAAGGCGGCUCACUGGCCCGAUACUGACGCUGAGGCACGAAAGCGUGGGGAGCAAACAGGG